rnacentral:tRNA from 1 species
GCCCGAGUGGCGGAAUGGUAGACGCAGAGGAUUCAAAAUCCUCCGCCGCAAGGCGUGCGAGUUCGAGUCUCGCCUCGGGCACCA